rnacentral:rRNA from 1 species
UACGUAGGGUGCAAGCGUUGUCCGGAAUUAUUGGGCGUAAAGAGCUCGUAGGCGGUUUGUCGCGUCUGCUGUGAAAUCCCAGGGCUUAACCCUGGGCCUGCAGUGGGUACGGGCAAAUUAGAGUGCGGUAGGGGAGACUGGAAUUCCUGGUGUAGCGGUGAAAUGCGCAGAUAUCAGGAGGAACACCGAUGGCGAAGGCAGGUCUCUGGGCCAUAACUGACGCUGAGAAGCGAAAGCAUGGGGAGCGAACAGG